GGGUCAGCGGCUGGAGCGUCACUCCCAGCGUCCCCGCAGAUUUGCAUUGGUUCCAGCCUGGAGCUUAGUGGCAGGCAUGAGUUGGUCUCUGGGUUUGUUUCGCGCCUUGUGGAGAGCGCUGUCUAAGGAGGUGAAGGAACACGUGGGCACAGACCACCUCGGAAACAAGUACUACUUCAUCCCGGAGUACAAGAACUGGAGAGGACAAACUAUUCGAGAAAAAAGGAUUGUAGAAACAGCAAAUAAAAAAGAAACAGACUAUGAAGUGGGGGAUAUCCCAACAGAAUGGGAAGCUUGGAUAAGACGAACAAGAAAAGUUCCACCUACAAUGGAGGAAAUAUUAAAGAAUGAGAAAUAUAGAGAAGAAAUGAAAAUUAAAAGUCAAGAUUUUUAUGAAAAAGAAAAACUCCUUAGUAAAGAGACCAUCAAGGAACACUUGCCUCCACCUGUUCAAACUCACAUUAAAGGGCAUGCAUCUGCUCCAUACUUUGGAAAGGAAGAACCCUCAGAGGCACCCACCAGCACUGGUAAAACCUUUCAGCCAGGAUCUUGGAUGCCACAAGAUGGCAAGAGCCAAAAUCAAUGAAUUGCACUGAUGAAAUCAUUAAAUUUACAUGGAUAUAGCAAUUUUAACAAAUAAAAGGGUCUCACUCUGUUGUCCAGGCUGACUUUGAAUUUCUGGGCCCGAGACAUCCUACUGCUUCAGCUUCCCUAAUAACUGGAACUACAGGCAAAAAUAUAUCUCCCUUCUGAACUCCAAUCUUCUCUAACCAGUGGGCUACAGAAGAUCACCUCUGAGAUAUCUAACCAACGUCUCGAACACACAUGUCUUGGGCCAAGCUCCUGGCAUUCUCCCUUCAACCUAUUUGUCUCCCAUCUUUCCCAUCUCAGUCAAUGGCAGUGAUGUCCUUCCUGUUGCUCAAGUGUGUCUCCUGGUCUAAGCAGCUUUGCCUUCUCUCUCACACAUCUCUCAGUGUUAGCAAGUCCUGGUGGUGCUACUUUCCAAUGGCCACUACUUGCCACACCAUUGCUACCACAUUGCUACUACUCUUGUCCAAGCCUCCAUCAGCCUCCUCAGGAUUACUACUGGGGCCUUAAGAAGGCCUCCCUGCCUCCUCCCAGGCUCCCCUUCAGUGGUUCUCAGCACAGUGACCAGGGCAGUCCUACUACAAACAGAUCUCUCCUGUUCCCUCUCCAGCCAUGCAGGACUCCUCACAGCUCUUCAAACGGGCAUGAACUUUGUGUCCCUCUGCCCAGUAGGCUCCUGCCAAAGCAGGCACAUGACUAGUUUCCUCACUGCCUUCACUCCUUCGUUUUUUGCUUAUUUAAUCUACUUAUUUAUUUUACUGUCUUUUUUCCUACCAUAAUGCAUGUUCCAUUAGGGCAGAGGUUUUUGCUCCUUGGAAUCAUGUCUGGUGCACAGCAAUUGAAUUUUGAAAUAAUGAAAACACAAAAAAGACCUAAAUAAAUGGAGAUACAGUGUUUCAAUGGAUAGGAAAACUCAGAAUAUAAAGAUACCAGUUGUCCUCGAGUUGAUCUACAGAUUCAUAAUUUCACUAAAAAAUCCCAGGAGUUUUUCAAAGAACUUGAUAAAUUGAAUCUUAACAUUUAUUGAUGAAUACAGCCUAAGGAUAGCUAUUCACUCAUAAAGAAUAAGUUUGGAGAAUCUGACCUUCUACAUGUCAAAUUUUUAAAACCAAGUAUUGUGCUACAUACCUGUAAUCUCAGCAACUUGAGAGGCUAAGGCAGGAGGAUCACAAGCUUGAGGCCAGACUGAGCAACUUAGCAAUAUCCUGUCUCAAAAAUAAAAAUGGGUGGGGAUGUAAUUCUUUGAUAAAAUAACUUAGGUUCAAUCCCCAGUAUGAAAGAAAGAAAGAGAGGGAGGGAAGGAGGAAAGGAAGAAAAAACUGUUUCAUAAAGUUACAGUAAAACAUAUGAAGUAGUAUUGGUUUAGGACUAGACAGAUUGACCAUAGAACAAAUAGAAAACCUGAAAACUGACCUAUAAGUAUGGAACCCUAUUAUAAGACAGAGGUAACAUUGCAAUCAUUGGAGAUACCAGAAAGGGUAUUCAAUAAAUAAAGAUUGGAUAAUUGAUUAUUCACAAGAGAAAAAAAGUGAAAUUGGAUUCUUAUCGCACAUGAUGCAUACAAUUAAUUCCAGGAGAAUUAAAUAGCAAAACCUUGAACGUUUCAAGCAGGAAAUAGAAGAGCAUAUUUUAAUGACUUUAGGAUAAGAGAGACCUUACUCAAAAAGGCCCCCUAAAAGUGCUAACUGCAAAGAAGACACUUAUAAAUCUCUUUACAUGAAAAAUGAGAUAUAUUUGUUCAUGAAGAGAUAUUAGAAAGAAAGUGAAAAUAUACAUAACAAAAUAAGAUAUGUGAAACAAACAUAAUGGGCAAAUGAUUAUUAUCCAGAAUAUAUAAUAAACCCCUAAAAGUCAAUAAAAAGUGUGAAUACCUCAAAAUGAAAAUAGGCAAAGGGCGUUAAAAAGCCUUCACAGAGGCAGAAACACAAAUGACCAGCAUGCAAAAUAAUAUGCUUAAUUUCAUUAGUAAUCAGAACAUUUCAAAAAUUCAAAUUUGCAAUGUAAAUCCCUAGAUUUUUUAUUUCACUAAUAUCAUAAAACAAGUGUGAGCACAGAUAUGGAACACAUUCUGCUCCGCAGCAUUUAGGCCAUCAUAGGAAAGACAAUUUGGUAUUAACAUCUAAAGGUAUUGGCAUGUGUAUCAGAAGACCUAUUUAGGAAUGUGUAUAGCAGCAUUGUUUAUAAUCACAAAAAUCUAAUCAUCACCCUUAAGGAAACAUGGUUUUUAAGGAGCUAGAAAGGACUUAGAUGUCCACUGAUGAAAUGAAAAAAUGAGUUUAUUUGUAUGAAAAAAUAAUGUUUAUUAUUAGCAUAAAAUAUAUAUAUAGUAUUCAUACAAUAGAUUUUAUAUCAGUGAAAAAUGGGUGAACCAGGACUAUACGUGGACUUUCUGCUUAGUCCUACUGACCUGUGUUGCUUAAGUCCACAGUGCCAUGCCACACAAUGCCAGCCUUGGACUUCCAGUUAGUGCAGUCACAAGGUGGAUUUACAGCACAGCCCCAUCUCUUUCCUCUUAACUCAGCUUCUGACUCAUCUUGCUUCUGGCUCCAUUGACCAAAUAGUCCCAAAGCAGGCUGUAGGAGGGGAGAAAGGAGGAUUCCAGAACAGUGUUAGGUUCUGCCAGGAAGGAGGGAAUGGAUGCAAGGUAUGGAGGUACUGUCCACUACUGCUACUUCACAUUUCUGUGUCUCCCAGCAUACUGCAAACUCUUUGAGGAAGGGACCAUGUCAUGAUCAUUUGCAUCCCACCCCCAACAUUAUACCUGGUACAUCCUAAAACAUUGAGCAAAAAAGUAUUAUUAGAAGAUUAGCAUAAGACUCAACUGGUUAGACCUUCAGAAACAGACCAACUGAAACUGCAAUCAGAGCAGGAGUCUCUUGCUAGAACCAACAUCCUCACUGAGAAGGCUAGUGUGGCUGCUUAAGGACAGGAGUAAGGGUAAAUGAGGGAGUGGAGGGGCUACUUGGAAUGGCAAAGCAGCUGGUCAGGAGCAAGAAUCUCUCCUGGAGAAGUGAGCUGAGUCCACUGGCAGGGCCAAUGGACAAUGUUUCCUUCUAAUGAAAGGGUCCUGGAAUCUUCAGAGGUGACUCCAUAGUAAGGUGGUGUUUGCCUGAUCUUAAAAGCACAGAAGUUUUUGUUCUCUAGUUGCCAGGGCGUGGAGCAUGGCUUGCCAUCCAACUGGAACAGGGUUUUUGGCAGCAGUGCCUUUCGGUAGCAUUUUCCAGUUUGCCCCCUGCUCGAGCCAGCCACUUUCUAGACAGGCUGGGGUGGCACCUCUGUGUUCAUGCACCAGGACCACAGGUCUCACCCACUUACCUGGUAUAAGCGAUUAGCCCAGUGUUAACCUUUCAUACUCUCUGGUGAUGACUAGUUUAUAGCACCUGCAUCUGAGGAAGAAGAGGGAACUCAGAGAAACCCAAAGUUUUCCUGAAUUAUGGCUAAAACACUAAGAUUUAGUCCCAAGUAUUCCAGGACCAAAAUAGGCCCUCAUUACUGCCUUCACUUCAGAGUGACCACAUGUAGUUACAAACUCUGCAUUACACCAAGGCUCUGGCUGAGAAGCACUGGGGGCUGAAUCCAGACUGUACUCUGCUCUGUUGCUAAGCCUGGGGGUGGGGCUGCAUCCUGCAUCUGCCAUGUGGAGAGGGCCCUUUUCUUCUCAUAGAAAUACCUACUGCUUGCCAAGUCAGGGCUGUGUCUGCCCAGAGGGUCCCCUUUGUUUAACUAGCAGAGGUUCAAUAUUCCCUUCCCAUCCGGUCCCUAGGAUGAAACCAGAAACCUUGGUUGAUCUGAGAGUGUUCUAGCCCCAACAGGAAGUACGCCAGAGGCUUUCUUACUGGCAAUGAGACCACUGGAGAUGCUUGUCCUCGAUCCUGUUCUCCACCAGCUUCCCAUUCCCCUUCCUCCAGAAGGGCUGGGAUCUUGGCCUAUCUUCCUAGCCUAUCUUCUCAGCCUUGCUCAUGAAUAUCUGCAUCUUCCUGACUACUGUCUGCAGAGCAUCCUCUGACCCCUUGAUCACUCUGUUCAAUAGGGACUGUGGCUGCUCAUCCUGCUCCCCGCCUGUCCCCUGGCUCCUCGCCUGUCCCCUGGCUCCUCGCCUGGCAGUUUCCUGACUGAACUUAGCCCUGAACUUCCUUUUGUUUGUGCCUAGGCUCCUGCCUGGAUGCUGACACUAUCCCUGAAGGCUGCCAGACCUGAUACUCAGUCUUGAUUCUGGGCUUCAAAACUUGAAGGCUUCAUACAGGCAGCAGCCUAUGAUCUGGACAGAAGAGAUUGUCGUCAAUGGGUGGAGGGCCUCUGUCCAGCUCAAUAAGACAUUUUUGAGCAGCUAGACUCAACUUGCUGGGCAUGCUGGACCUCUUUACAGGUGGCCAAUUGGACCCUCCUGAUUCCAGCACUCACUCCCCACCUGGUCUUCUACUCAGAAAUCACAGGAUUCUCUCACUGUUGUCUUGAAUCCCAUUCAUCUUUCUAAUGAUUGGUCUUAGCAUUGUUUUUGACACUUUGCUCAUAGCCUCUCACUAACAUUCCUCAUAGCUUGACCCAGCUCCUGAGAUCUUCCCAACCUUAUGCAUGCCACCCCCAGAUCCUCCUUCUCCCUCCCCUCAAUCCACAGCCUAUUUUGGGGGUGGGGGCCCAGAAACUAUUUGGUUGACGGAGCUAGAGCAUGUGGAGUCAGGAGGGGAGGAUGUGCUAUGCUGAAAGUCUGCAUUUUUGCUGUCUGUCCUCCUGCUGGAUCUGAGUGGCCUGAUGCAUCAGCCACAAGAAACACAGGCCUAGACAGAAAGCCAGAGUGGAGAAGGAAUAGACCAGGUAUAUGGACUAAACGUUUGUGUCCCUCCAGCCAAAGUCAUAUGUUGAAACCCCAGCCUUCAAUGUGAUGAUGUUUGGAGGAGGAACCUGUGGGAGGUGAUUAGGGUUAGAUGAGGUCAUGAGGGUGCGUCCCUUAGAAUGGGAUCAGGGGCCUUAAAAAAAGAGGAAGAGUACCUCUCUGUCUCUGAGGGCAUGCACCAUGGAAAUGCCAUGUGAAGACACAACAAGAAGGUAGCCAUCUGCAAACUAAGGAAAGAAUCCUCCACAGACACUGACCCUGCUGGAACUUGAUCUUGGGCUUUCCCGAUUCUAAACUGAGAAAAUAAAGGUCUGUUUUUAAAGCCACCAGUCUGUGGUAUUUUGUUAUGGCAGCCCAAGCUAAGACACCAGGGGAUAUGAUCCUAACAAAAGCCUGGAGGAAAGAGUACACUUUGAAAAAUGUGUUCUGGUCCCAUUCUGUCUCCUGCUCCUUCACCUCUAGCACCACUUUGGCUGAAACUUUUAGAAAGACCAGUUUCCUUUUCCCCUUUAAUUCUUACUUCCCACUCACUCCAACACACCCUUCAAUCUGUUUUCCAAAGCUCAGCCUCAGGCUUGCCUCAGUCACCCUGGCUGCACUCACCCCUUUCCCUGCCCCUCUGCUCCCCUGAAGAUGCUCCUGGCAUUCAGUUCCACCACCACACCUGGCUCCAGUGAGGCACAAGCACCAUCAGGACAGGGAUCUUUUCUUCACCCCUCCUUUCUGUUCUCUACAGAAUCUAACAUAACUCUGGGUACAUGACACAUGAUCAGUCAAUGUUUAAUAGAUUAAUUGUAAACACAUUUUUCUAAGUAAACUAUGAGGCUCCCUUGCAUUACAAUCUUAUUGAGUGUUUUCUAAAAUGCAGAUCUUGUACUUCACCACACAAUUAGAAAAUCAGAAUUUUGGGGAGCAGAACUCAGGCAUUUGUGUUGUGGUGGAUGAAAGCUAACCACAAAUCCUUUGAUGUUUCUUCUAUCAAGAGGCAGGAUCUGUUUCUCUGACCCUUGAAACUGGAGGGAUGCUAUGUCCAUUGCAGGCCUACCCUUUGGUCUCUGGGAACUCUGGGCCACGAGAGACCCUGAGACUUCAUGGAGACAGCAAAGCUCACUGAGUUAGCUUUAUAUCUGCCCUUCCAAACUGCCCAGAAGACAACUUCGAGUGAAGUUGCCUUCUAUCCACCAGAUGAGAUCAGCCACCAGCUGAAUACUAGUGGGUGACCCUAGUCAAUCACAUGAAGCAGAAGAAUCACUCAGCUGAGCCCUGCCAGAAUUCUUGUCCUGUGAAAGCAGGAAAUGCAAUAAAAAGAGCUGUUGUUUUAAGUCUUAAUAUUUGUUACAUAGUGACAAACAAGAUACCACAAAUUCUCCAGACUAUGUUUGUGUGUCCUACAACUUAAGAGUUGUUAUUGUAACAUGAUCUGACAUUUAAUGAAUAAAAUUUUACAUUAAAGUAUAGAAAAAAA